GUAGUCGGAUUCAUAUCAAUCCACAUAUGUUGGGGUGGGUUAGAGUGGAACUUGAAUUAAAUUCCACUCCAAUCCACUCCAACACAUGUGGAUUGAGAUAAAUCCGACA
rfam:Sorghum bicolor cultivar BTx623 chromosome 5, whole genome shotgun sequence.